rnacentral:rRNA from 1 species
GACGUAGGGCGCGAGCGUUGUCCGGAUUUAUUGGGCGUAAAGAGCUCGUAGGCGGCUUGUCGCGUCGAAUGUGAAAACCCAACGGCUCAACGUGUGGGCUUGCAUUCGAUACGGGCAGGCGUAGAGUUCGGUGAGGGGAGACUGGAAUUCCUGGUGUAGCGGUGAAAUGCGCAGAUAUCGGGAGGAACACCAAUGGCGAAGGCAGCCUCGCUGGGACGUUACUGACGCUGAGACGCGAAAGCGUGGGGAGCAAACAGG